rnacentral:rRNA from 1 species
ACGGCAGCGCGGGGCAACCUGGCGGCGAGUGGCGAACGGGUGAGUAAUAUAUCGGAACGUGCCCUGGAGUGGGGGAUAACGUAGCGAAAGUUACGCUAAUACCGCAUACGAUCUACGGAUGAAAGUGGGGGAUCGCAAGACCUCAUGCUCGUGGAGCGGCCGAUAUCUGAUUAGCUAGUUGGUAGGGUAAAAGCCUACCAAGGCAUCGAUCAGUAGCUGGUCUGAGAGGACGACCAGCCACACUGGAACUGAGACACGGUCCAGACUCCUACGGGAGGCAGCAGUGGGGAAUUUUGGACAAUGGGCGCAAGCCUGAUCCAGCAAUGCCGCGUGAGUGAAGAAGGCCUUCGGGUUGUAAAGCUCUUUUGUCAGGGAAGAAACGGUGUUUUCUAAUACAGAAUGCUAAUGACGGUACCUGAAGAGUAAGCACCGGCUAACUACGUGCCAGCAGCCGCGGUAAUACGUAGGGUGCAAGCGUUAAUCGGAAUUACUGGGCGUAAAGCGUGCGCAGGCGGUUUUGUAAGUCUGUCGUGAAAUCCCCGGGCUCAACCUGGGAAUGGCGAUGGAGACUGCAAGGCUAGAAUCUGGCAGAGGGGGGUAGAAUUCCACGUGUAGCAGUGAAAUGCGUAGAU